rnacentral:lncRNA from 10 species
ACUGCGAGAGCGCCAGCUGCAGUGGGGGAGGUGCAGUCCGGCCUGCAUGCUUCACAGAACCAGCCGGGGCCAGAAACAGGCAAGAACCCUGCACCUUACAGAGCUGGCGGGACGCGAGCACCAUGCUCCCACCAUGCUCCCAGGUGCAGUUGCAGCGGCCCAGCUGUGGCUCUGGACCUGGGCAGCCCUGUGCUCUUGGGGGCCUGGGAAACACCCUGACCUUGCAGGCUAGGAAGUGCUUGCUCAUGUUCCCUGGCCUCUCCCUGCUCCCAGGGCUUGCUUUGGUGUGAAGCAAAGUUGUGGCUGAGCCCGGGGAACUGUUGCGACCCAGACAGACAUGUGCGUGAUAUAGGGCUGCUGACACACCAGCCUCCAGCCGCCUCAGCCCCCUCCAGACUCUGGGCACUAACGAGAACGUGAGGGAGGCUGCGGGGCUGAGGGUGGCUCGGCAUGGGCCUGUGGGCACCCCUUAGCGUGGACAGCCUGGGCACCGCAGCCGGUAUAUUGAUGGCGGUGGGAGGCUAAGAGGUUUCCGGGCGGGAAGAGCUGGGUCCCCAGUGAAACCCCACCUUCAAGCCAGGGAUGACCCAAAGGCUAGGGGCCACGCUACCAGUUCCGGGUGGAGUCCGCUACCCGGAUGGUGCUUUUUCCAGGCCCGCCCAUGGCUGCCCAUAGACCAAUCAGCAUUCACUUCCUCCAUUCUGAGUCUAGUUUCAGUCAGACUCACUGGGACGACCUGCCUGCAGAAAGGAGCUACUCACUUUGGGUCUCCUGAGAGCUGUUCUUUCAGUAAAGCUCCCCUCCACCUUGCUCACCCUCCAGUUGUCCUCAGUAUAACCUGAUUUUUCCUGGAUGGGGGACGAGAACUCAGGACCUGCCAAACAGCGGGAGCGAAAGGAGCUGUAACACGCUGGCCGGCUCACAGGGUUGCCGGUGGUCAAACGCUCCCUGACUGUGGGAGUGAAGAGUGGCGACCCUCCUUGGGGGCCCAGAACUCGGGAUUCCCUGGGCCAGACCUGCUGUGACACUAAUCCCCUCCAUCUAUGCCGGGUGGCCGCCCCACGUAACAGGAAGCAGCACCAGGGCCAGUUUCCAUGAACCAGAGUAGGGCGGAGAGACUGAAAGCUGUCACACAAAUGGACCGAAUCACAUCCCACCCCCGAAAUUGCCCCCUCGCUUGUGCUGCAGAAGAACAGAAAGAGAGAAGAGCUGCAGCCUUUCUGGGAGCACAGACCUCAGGGCUCCCCGAACCAGGGCUGAGACACGCCUCUUUUGGGCUCUGCAAUUUCUGGCAUCUCUGAGCUUUUGGGCAUUACCACGCUUAUGACCCCAGUGGAAGCCUCUUGCAGUACACGGUGCCGGUACCUGCGCAGGCACCUGGAGCUGCCCAUCCCGCUGCAGUAGCCGAUGUGCCUGGAUUUGUGGAACCAGAUAAUUUUCUGCCUCAGCCGCUUGCUCCCUCACACAGCCCUCGCUGCCCCACUCCUAGCUGGCCCUUGGCAGGCGUGGGAUCUGGGCUGGUAGCCCAAGCUGAGUACAGCCUGCUGGGCUGAGUGGGCAGAACAAGAUCAACAGAUAAGCAACAACAUUAAAAAAGAAUUCUGAGCAUCAUAACAUCCCAGAACAUUCAUGCAGGAUGGAAUUGGUCCAAUAUAACCAUCUUGCCACCAAGCGCUGGAGUGGCUGUCCUCUUUGAGGAGAAGGUACCUUAUAUCUAGCUUAGCAUUGUUUAUAUUUCUGACAGAGACGUGAUUAUGUACAAAGGUUAGUGAACAUUACUGUGCACAUCACCAGGGGCACAUCAUUUUUACAGAAUACAGAAUACACUUAAUAAUGUGAUUACUGAAUCGCAUGUCCAGCUUUACAAGGUAACUAAAACAGUUUAAAAACAGAAAACAAAGACAUUUAAUGCACAAUGUGAGGAUGAAAAA